rnacentral:rRNA from 1 species
CCUACGGGAGGCAGCAGUGGGGAAUAUUGGACAAUGGGCGAAAGCCUGAUCCAGCCAUGCCGCGUGUGUGAAGAAGGCCUUCGGGUUGUAAAGCACUUUCAGUGGGGAAGAAAGCCUUGGGGCUAAUACCCUCGAGGAAGGACAUCACCCACAGAAGAAGCACCGGCUAACUCCGUGCCAGCAGCCGCGGUAAUACGGAGGGUUCGAGCGUUAAUCGGAAUUACUGGGCGUAAAGCGCGCGUAGGCGGUCUGAUAAGCCGGUUGUGAAAGCCCCGGGCUCAACCUGGGAACGGCAUCCGGAACUGUCAGGCUAGAGUGCAGGAGAGGAAGGUAGAAUUCCCGGUGUAGCGGUGAAAUGCGUAGAGAUCGGGAGGAAUACCAGUGGCGAAGGCGGCCUUCUGGACUGACACUGACGCUGAGGUGCGAAAGCGUGGGUAGCAAACAGGAUUAGAUACCCUAGUAGUC